GAUGAACGCUGGCGGCGUGCCUAAUACAUGCAAGUCGAGCGAACGGACGAGAAGCUUGCUUCUCUGAUGUUAGCGGCGGACGGGUGAGUAACACGUGGAUAACCUACCUAUAAGACUGGGAUAACUUCGGGAAACCGGAGCUAAUACCGGAUGAUAUUUUGAACCGCAUGGUUCAAAAGUGAAAGACGGUCUUGCUGUCACUUAUAGAUGGAUCCGCGCUGCAUUAGCUAGUUGGUAAGGUAACGGCUUACCAAGGCAACGAUGCAUAGCCGACCUGAGAGGGUGGUCGCACACACUGGAACUGAGACACGGCCCAGACUCCGACGGGAGGCAGCAGUAGGGAAUCUUCCGCAAUGGGGGAAAGCCUGACGGAGCAACGCCGCGUGAGGGAUGAAGGUCUUCGGAUCGGAAAACUCUGUUAUUAGGGAAGAACAUAUGUGUAAGUAACUGUGCACAUCUUGACGGUACCUAAUCAGAAAGCCACGGCUAACUACGUG
rnacentral:rRNA from 1 species